AGCUCUAAAUAUCAACCAGUCACCACGGACCCAUUUUCCUCUUCGCCUGAUCCCAAUGACCAAGAUGAAAACCUAGACAUACUCGGUGAUGAUGACAAUGGCUCACCCAAUAAUAUGGCCUCAGCACAAGAGACGUCUUAUCGCGGUUUUGACAUCAACUUACCAAAUCAGCUCGACAUGGAUGAUGAGGUUGCUGAUGUUGAUGUAAAUGACGAAGCUGAGGAGGGACUUAAUGCAGCUGAGGCGCUGCGAGCUCAAGUCAAUGCAGAAGGACAGCAGAUGGAGCAGGCCACUUCUAGUUCAAGUGGAAGCAGCAGCGGCAGCGGGAGCGGAAGCGGAAGCGGGAGCGGCAGCAGCACCAGUGGUAGUGACGGCAGUGAUGGCGAUUCACCCAGCUCCGGAGGGGAUGUUGAUAUAUGAGUUCGGUUUCAGGCUGCUGACCUAACUUGCUGUCUAUGAAUCGCACUUAAGGGCAUGUUUGGAUCAUGUCCUGAAGCAAGAUUGCCUGGCCUUAAGGGUGCCUGAGAUCUUGCCUGGAUUCUGCUCAAUCAUCUUAUUAUAGCCUGGCCUAAAAACUUGUCAAUGCCAUUAGCCUGCCCUGGCCAGCCAGGCAACAUGAUUAGCCUGGGCCAGGCGUCCCGUUUGACACGCCUGGUGGGCUGAUGCAUCUGCCUGGUACUAUUUUAAUAUUUCUUUUGCAUGGAAGUGAUGGACUGAUGGGUGUCCAGAGUUUUAUCUACCUAAUUGUACUGUAGUACGGCGACUAUCCACCAAACGCAUAUGAACCAGGCAAGCCUGGGCAGGCAGAAUUCUUCAACUUCUCCGGCGACAUCCAGGCAUUACUUUUUGCCAGGCAUAAGGGCCAGGCCUCGAACUAAACUGACCCUUUGUUUCCUUCGACCCAUUUCUACUCCGUACUAAACCAACAUCAAUUAAUAAUUAAUAUGGAUAGGGAGGGAGCGAUCAUUACUAAAGGAGGUACGAGUGAUGCU
rnacentral:lncRNA from 1 species